GACGAACGCUGGCGGCGUGCUUAACACAUGCAAGUCGAACGGUAAGGCUCUUCGGAGUACACGAGUGGCGAACGGGUGCGUAACACGUGACCAACCUACCCCUAACAUCGGGAUAACAUUUGGAAACAGAUGCUAAUACCGGAUACGAACUUAGAAGGCAUCUUCUGAGUUGGAAAGCUCCGGCGGUUAGGGAUGGGGUCGCGGCCUAUCAGCUUGUUGGUGAGGUAAUGGCUCACCAAGGCGACGACGGGUAGCCGGCCUGAGAGGGCGACCGGCCACACUGGGACUGAGAUACGGCCCAGACUCCUACGGGAGGCAGCAGUGGGGAAUAUUGCACAAUGGGCGCAAGCCUGAUGCAGCAACGCCGCGUGCGGGAUGACGGCCUUCGGGUUGUAAACCGCUUUCAGCAGGGACGAAGUGAAAAUGACGGUACCUGCAAAAGAAGCAUCGGCCAACUACGUGCCAGCAGCCGCGGUGAUACGUAGGAUGCGAGCGUUGUCCGGAAUUAUUGGGCGUAAAGAGCUUGUAGGCGGUCUGUCACGUCGAAAGUGAAAACUCAGGGCUCAACCCUGAGCCUGCUUUCGAUACGGGCAGACUA
rnacentral:rRNA from 1 species